GGGGCUAUAGUAUAGCUUGGUCAGUAUAGGCGGUUUGGGACCGCCCGGCCGCAGUUCAAAUCUGCGUAGCCCCA
rnacentral:tRNA from 1 species